CGGGUGAGUAACGCGUGGAUAACCUGCCGUAUGCAGGGGGAUACCAACUGGAAACAGUUGCUAAUACCGCAUAAGCGCACAGCACCGCAUGGUGCAGUGUGAAAAGAUUUAUCGGCAUACGAUAGAUCCGCGUCCGAUUAGCCAGUUGGCGGGGUAGAAGCCCACCAAAGCGACGAUCGGUAGCCGGCCUGAGAGGGCGGACGGCCACAUUGGGACUGAGACACGGCCCAAACUCCUACGGGAGGCAGCAG
rnacentral:rRNA from 1 species